GGAGCAAAGAAGGAUAUGGGAGUGUGGGUAGGGCAAGUAGGGAGACUAAAUAAGAACUGAGGUAGAAAGUUCCUUGCAGGUGGGUGGGAAAGGGGUGGAGCUGACACCAUUGCUACAGGAGCUGAAUAAUAGCCUUGUGGAAAUAAAUGCCUGGUGAAGGCAUGCAGAAAGCAGUCUGGAGCUCAGAAGAGACACACCAGCACAGUCUGGUAGUCUACAGUAUCAAGUCUCUAGAGAAAGGCUGAAACACCCAGAACAAGAGAGACCAGGUCCAGGAUGCCCAGUCUGUUCUGGUCCCAUCUGCCAGCAAUCUGGCUGCUGCUGAGCCAACUCCUUAGAGAAAGCCUAGCAGCAGAGAUGAAGGGAUGUGGUCACCAGUUCGGAAACAGCUUGCUGUCAUUUUGUGACAAGACCAAAAAGAAAAUCUCUAACACCCAGAAGAAUGGCUGCUGGAAUCUGAACUACCCACAGAAAUGAUGUCAUCCUCAAUCAAUAAAGAUACAAAAACCUUAGAUAUGCCGUCAAAAUUAAUUCCCAAUUUGUCACAGGAGCUGAAGAAAACAGUGUCUCAAGGGCAACCAUCAUUGAGGAAAGUAGUACUUUCCCGAAAAAAAGAGAUGUAAAGACCUGAAUUCGAUCCAUUAUGCUGUGAAGUAGUUUGUGACAAUGGAACUUCAGUUAAAGUGUCUGAAUAGUGGAGUAAUUGUGGACAUCUACCCAUUCUCAAGUUUAUUCUCAGUGACAAAUUCACUAAUGUCCAAUUCAAUGACUGCUGAUUAUUAGGAUGUGAGAAAUAAUUAUUAGUAUAUACAUGUUUCACUUGCUCUGUGAUAAUACAGUCUCUCUAAAGGGAGGAAGUUAGACAGAUGGAAUAAGUUUUAGUACUUGAUAAUACAGUGGGGAAAUUAUACUUUACAAUACUUUAUUGUGUAUUUCAAAAUAGCUAGAAGAGAAUUGUAAUGAUCCCAGCACAAAGAAAAAAUGAAUGUUAGAGGUGAUGGAUAUCCCAAUUAUCCUGAUUUGAUCAUUACACAUCAUAUGCAUGUAUUGAAAUAUCACAUGUACUACAAAAAUGCGUACAACUAUAAUAU
rnacentral:lncRNA from 1 species